rnacentral:snoRNA from 1 species
AAGUGAAAUGAUGGCAAAUCAUCUUUCGGGACUGACCUGAAAUGAAGAGAAUGCUCUCUGCUGAUCACUU